GGUGAACGCUGGCGGCGUGCCUAAUACAUGCAAGUCGAGCGAACGGACGAGAAGCUUGCUUCUCUGAUGUUAGCGGCGGACGGGUGAGUAACACGUGUAUAACCUACCUAUAAGACUGGGAUAACUUCGGGAAACCGGAGCUAAUACCGGAUAAUAUUUUGAACCGCAUGGUUCAAAAGUGAAAGACGGUCUUGCUGUCACUUAUAGAUGGAUCCGCGCUGCAUUAGCUAGUUGGUAAGGUAACGGCUUACCAAGGCAACGAUGCAUAGCCGACCUGAGAGGGUGAUCGGCCACACUGGAACUGAGACACGGUCCAGACUCCUACGGGAGGCAGCAGUAGGGAAUCUUCCGCAAUGGGCGAAAGCCUGACGGAGCAACGCCGCGUGAGUGAUGAAGGUCUUCGGAUCGUAAAACUCUGUUAUUAGGGAAGAACAUAUGUGUAAGUAACUGUGCACAUCUUGACGGUACCUAAUCAGAAAGCCACGGCUAACUACGUG
rnacentral:rRNA from 1 species